UACGGAGGGUGCGAGCGUUGUCCGGAAUCACUGGGCGUAAAGGGCGCGUAGGCGGCCUGAUAAGUAGGGGGUGAAAUCCUGCGGCUUAACCGCAGGGCUGCCUUCUAAACUGUCAGGCUAGAGCACGGUAGAGGCAGAUGGAAUUCCCGGUGUAGCGGUGGAAUGCGUAGAGAUCGGGAAGAACAUCAGUGGCGAAGGCGGUCUGCUGGGCCGUUGCUGACGCUGAGGCGCGACAGCGUGGGGAGCAA
rnacentral:rRNA from 1 species